rnacentral:lncRNA from 1 species
CCCUCCCCCAGCCUCGCUGCCGCCUUGCAGUUUGAUCUCAGACUGCUGUGCUAUCAAUCAGUGAGACUCCGUGGGCGUAGGACCCUCCAAGCCAGGUGCCGGAUAUAAUCUCGUGGUGCGCCGUUUUUUAAGCCCGUCGGAAAAGCGCAGUAUUCGGGUGGAAGUGGCCCGAUUUUCCAGGUGCGUCCGUCACCCCUUUCUUUGACUCGGAAAGGGAACUCCCUGACCCCUUGCGCUUCCCAAGUGAGGCAAUGCGUCACCCUGCUUCGGCUCGCGCACGGUGCGUGCACCCACUGACCUGCGACCACUGUCUGGCACUCCCUAGUGAGAUGAACCCUGUACCUCAGAUGGAAAUGCAGAAAUCACCCGUCUUCUGCGUCGCUCAUGCUGGGAGCUGUAGACUGGAGCUGUUCCUAUUCGGCCAUCUUGGCUCUUCCCCCGUUUUACAAUUUAAAGGUAAAGACCUUCACAAUCGGGAACCCGUAGAUUGGAUCUUCUGAAAACAUCAGAGAAAGACUAUCUUUGCCAUCCACACUACAGUAAAACUUUGGAGCCUUGAACCUUGGAUUUAUAAUCUCACAACUGAGAAGGGUCCCUCCAUACUCCUGGAACUGUACACCCAUUGGAACUCUUAAGGAGACACCCCUGGAGUCUGUGAAUCUGCUGUGAUUCUGGGGGCUGCCCGAAUCAUGAAUCAUUCAUUGCUCAAUUAAACUCCUUUAAGUUUAAUUUGGCUGAAGUUUUUCUUUUAUCACACCCUUGCCCCAUGAGCCAGGGAAAGGGCAACUGAGGCCGCAGUAUUUUCAGUGGCACCAAGGUACAC